CAAAAUGUAGCUUAACUCAAAGCCAUUCGCUUACACCGAUUAAAUGUUUGUUAAAAUCAAACCAUUUUGA
rnacentral:tRNA from 1 species